AUUUGCAUGUAUGCAAAUUUCUUUGAAAAUUCAGACCUCCUAGGUAACUUUCUUUCCCCUCUGAAAUGCGGUACGGCUCAAAGCAUUGUAAUCUCUCCAGCGAAGCUUUCUGUGGGAAUAGAUUCUUCGGCAGAGGACAGGAAAAAAAAAAUGUGAAAGGGAUGUCCUCUUUGGGCAGGGAGAUACUCUGAUCCGUGAAGGCAUGCCAGAGCUGGACCUGGGCUACCUGACCGUCCUCGGUCCCGGGACACCCCUGGAGGGGGGCCUUUUAAGAAUCCUCUCUUUUUCCCUCCCCCCAGGCUCUCCUCUCUCCUAGAAGGAAGAAAAAAUGAGUAUACCUGCCUCCUCCAAACCUCCUUCCCAUCUUUGCCUCCUCCUCCUCUCCCUCACCUUACUCCCCAGCCUGCUGCAUUUGCCAACCCUGCUCAAGAAUUCCAGAAGGAAAGGGG